GUGAUGGGUGGCAGCCGUCCGAACAUGAGGCUGACGGAGGUGGCUCCUGUUCUACCACACUAGCUGUUGGCAGGCUAGCAGCCAGCUCCGGAAGGAUGGUGGAAGAUCACGCAGUGCUACGGACCACCCCACGUGGAGGCCGCUGCUCCCUCCUCUGCACUGUUAGAACUAUUCCCUGGAACUUGCAAGGUGGUGGCAGCAGGACCUUGGAUUUCUGGGUGGAGGGACUUCUGGCGGUGGAAAGCACCCUGCCCACACCUGCUCUCCAGGUUUAUGUGAAUGACUCUGGCUCUGAACCUGUCACUAGAGGAAUUAUGAAGCUUGGAGAUGUUAGAAGGAACCAGUCCCCUACAGUAGAUGUCAUGUUUGUGAGCACCUGCAGACAAACACGUGUGAGUCCUCUAAAAGGACCAUUUAAAGUUGAGAGUGAUGAUAUGUCUUUUGGGGAAGAUGAUAAUGGAGGAACUGUGUCAGAUUAA
rnacentral:lncRNA from 1 species